UUGAUUUUGCAAACAGUUUGUCAACAAUAACGUCCAUAUUGGCUCCGAGAAAAUUUAUGCUGAGUAAAAUGUCCACAAGGUAAAACACGUUGGUUCAUUUCGUUGCUGGGGUUAUUGAUGGCACACAGCGUGUGGCCGCUAUGAGCGCCUGCAGCUUCCUUGGAUAGCUUGCUGCAACUGCAGGCGAAACUCCCACUUCCUCGCUGAUUGAGUGCGCUUCAUCCGCGAACAGAUUUCGUUCCAGAGGCUUGUGUAUUGGCGUUCGCAUCGGCAGGCGUCGAGAGUGCGAAAAGAAAUAUGAGUGCAGAGCCCCAGCCGAGCAGGUGUUACGGCCAUUAACUGACCGCAGCCACAUAAAAAUGAGCGGCGCAGCGGCUGUCGUCUUUCAUCUUUAGGCGAUUAGCGCCAGCCUCACGAAGCCUAUCGAAAGCACAUUCGAUGAAGGCGAGCACAGAGUGUGCUGCAGGGAGCGCUUUCGCGAAUAAGCAAGGAGCACGAAGUGCUCGUGUGUAGACAACUGCCGAUGUGUUACUUUUUGACGCCUCAUCGGAGGACGUGGAGGACGGUCAGCCUCUCCCCGCAUCUACCGCAGGUUGGAGGAUCAUUUUCACAUACACCUGCAGCACCUUUGGGACUAAUGACACAAAGGUCAAGGCCAGCCUGGCGACCAUGCUUGCCAAGGAGUAGUGUAAAUAUUUAAUCUGUUUCCAUAAUAGCAUAAGACAAGAAUUUAAGGAAUUCAUGUAUUAUAUCGAGCAAUAAAAACGGUUAAUGUAUUGCC